rnacentral:rRNA from 1 species
AUUGAACGCUGGCGGCAGGCCUAACACAUGCAAGUCGAGCGGAUGAGAGGAGCUUGCUUCUUGAUUCAGCGGCGGACGGGUGAGUAAUGCCUAGGAAUCUGCCUGGUAGUGGGGGACAACGUUUCGAAAGGAACGCUAAUACCGCAUACGUCCUACGGGAGAAAGUGGGGGAUCUUCGGACCUCACGCUAAUAGAUGAGCCUAGGUCGGAUUAGCUAGUUGGUGAGGUAACGGCUCACCAAGGCGACGAUCCGUAGCUGGUCUGAGAGGAGGAUCAGCCACACUGGAACUGAGACACGGUCCAGACUCCUACGGGAGGCAGCAGUGGGGAAUAUUGGACAAUGGGCGAAAGCCUGAUCCAGCCAUGCCGCGUGUGUGAAGAAGGUCUUCGGAUUGUAAAGCACUUUAAGUUGGGAGGAAGGGUUGUAAGCUAAUAUCUUGCAGCUUUGACGUUACCAACAGAAUAAGCACCGGCUAACUCUGUGCCAGCCGCCGCCGUAA